UGAAGUAGAAAAAGUUGAUUCCUUUUCUUAGUUUGUCUUUUGUAGGAAGAUCAAUAUUUCAGCCUUGAAAAAUGAGCUAACUAAUCCUGAUUUUCAUCUCUGAUCCAUGUAUAAAUCCUGGUUUUACAGUUAGUGUGACAAUCUUUGCAUUUUUUCUUUUCGACACCCUUAGAUUAAAAUUUACAAGAAACUUAAUUUAGUUCAGAUCCAGGGGAUAGGUGCUGAUUUUUGUUCAUGCUUAGCUCAAUGUUGUUUGAUGACAGUUUUUGUGGUUGACACAGUAUUGGUGCACAAAGAGUUAAAAAUGCCUGCAUAGCUUUCCGCAACUUCUGCGAGGAACAGAACACUGAAGGGUGCAUUAGAUGUGUUCAACAAGUAAAGCAAGAGUACUACCUUGUGAAGAACAAGCUUGAAAC